rnacentral:sRNA from 1 species
GCCUCGGCGGGGAGGUCUGCGGUGGGGCCGCGCUCCGGCGCCGCCCCCCCGCCGGCCCCCGCCGGCCGCGCCGAACUCUUCAUUUGCAAAGCGGACUGAAUGCUCUGAUUAAUCUUGAAAAAACAAGUCAAAACUUUCAACAACGGAUCUCUUGGUUCUGGCAUCGAUGAAGAACGCAGCGAAAUGCGAUAAGUAAUGUGAAUUGCAGAAUUCAGUGAAUCAUCGAAUCUUUGAACGCACAUUGCGCCCGGCAGCAAUCUGCCGGGCAUGCCUGUCCGAGCGUCAUUUCUGCCCUCGAGCGCGGUUCGGCCCCUAGCGGGGCCUGCCGCCGCCCGGUGUUGGGGCGCUGCGGGCCCUCGAGCCCGCAGGCCCUGAAAUGAAGUGGCGGUCCCGCCGCGGCGCCCCCUGCGUAGUAGUAAAGCACCUCGCAUCGGGUCCCGGCGUCGGCCAGCCGUCGAACCUCAUCUCUUGAUGGUUUGACCUCGGAUCAGGUAGGGUUACCCGCUGAACUUAAGCAUAUCAAUAA